AUACGGAGGGAGCGAGCGUUAAUCGGAAUUACUGGGCGUAAAGCGCGCGUAGGCGGCUUUGUAAGUCGGAUGAGAAAGCCCUGGGCUUAACCUGGGAAUGGCAUUCGAUACUGCAGAGCUAGAGUAUGGUAGAGGGAAGUGGAAUUUCCGGUGUAGCGGUGAAAUGCGUAGAUAUCGGAAGGAACACCAGUGGCGAAGGCGACUUCCUGGGCCAAUACUGACGCUGAGGUGCGAAAGCGUGGGGAGCAAACAGGAUUAGAAACCCCAGUAGUCC
rnacentral:rRNA from 1 species